rnacentral:rRNA from 1 species
AGCAAGGUGGUCCCACGCCUUCCCAUCCCGAACAGGACCGUGAAACGCCUUCGCGCCGAUGAUAGUGGACGUACGUCUGUGAAAGUAGGUCAUCGUCAGGC